rnacentral:rRNA from 1 species
GACAGAGGGUGCAAACGUUGUUCGGAAUUACUGGGCGUAAAGCGUGUGUAGGCGGCUAGGUAAGUCGGAUGUGAAAGCCCCGGGCUCAACUCGGGAAGUGCACUCGAUACUGCUUAGCUCGAGUACCGGAGAGGUUGGUGGAAUUCUCGGUGUAGAGGUGAAAUGCGUAGAUAUCAAGUGGAACACCAGUGGCGAAGGCGAGUCUCUGGACAUUUCCUGACGCUGAGGCACGAAAGCCAGGGGAGCAAACGGG